rnacentral:rRNA from 1 species
AACGAACGCUGGCGGCAUGCCUAACACAUGCAAGUCGAACGAGACCUUCGGGUCUAGUGGCGCACGGGUGCGUAACGCGUGGGAACCUGCCCUUAGGUUCGGAAUAACUCCCCGAAAGGGGUGCUAAUACCGGAUAAUGUCUUCGGACCAAAGAUUGAUCGCCUUUGGAUGGGCCCGCGUUGGAUUAGCUAUUUGGUAGGGUAAAAGCCUACCAAGGAGACGAUCCAUAGCUGGUCUGAGAGGAUGAUCAGCCACACUGGGACUGAGACACGGCCCAGACUCCUACGGGAGGCAGCAGUGGGGAAUAUUGGACAAUGGGCGAAAGCCUGAUCCAGCAAUGCCGCGUGAGUGAUGAAGGCCUUAGGGUUGUAAAGCUCUUUUACACGGGAUGAUAAUGACAGUACCGGGAGAAUAAGCUCCGGCUAACUCCGUG